rnacentral:rRNA from 1 species
UCGGGGAUUAGUGGCGAACGGGUGAGUAACACGUGAGUAACCUGCCCUUAACUCUGGGAUAAGCCUGGGAAACUGGGUCUAAUACUGGAUAUUGACUUUUCACCGCAUGGUGGUUGGUUGAAAGAUUUAUUGGUUUUGGAUGGACUCGCGGCCUAUCAGCUUGUUGGUGAGGUAAUGGCUCACCAAGGCGACGACGGGUAGCCGGCCUGAGAGGGUGACCGGCCACACUGGGACUGAGACACGGCCCAGACUCCUACGGGAGGCAGCAGUGGGGAAUAUUGCACAAUGGGCGAAAGCCUGAUGCAGCGACGCCGCGUGAGGGAUGACGGCCUUCGGGUUGUAAACCUCUUUCAGUAGGGAACAAGGCCAGUGUUUAGCUGGUUGAGGGUACUUGCAGAAGAAGCGCCGGCUAACUACGUGCCAGCAGCCGCGGUAAUACGUAGGGCGCAAGCGUUAUCCGGAAUUAUUGGGCGUAAAGAGCUCGUAGGCGGUUUGUCGCGUCUGCCGUGAAAGUCCGGGGCUCAACUCCGGAUCUGCGGUGGGUACGGGCAGACUAGAGUGAUGUAGGGGAGACUGGAAUUCCUGGUGUAGCGGUGAAAUGCGCAGAUAUCAGGAGGAACACCGAUGGCGAAGGCAGGUCUCUGGGCAUUAACUGACGCUGAGGAGC